GAAAGCUGCCAACAGGCCGCGUUGUAAUUUGUAGAAGAUGCUUUGGGUGUCGGCCCAGUCUAAGUUCCUUGGAACAGGACGUCAUAGAGGGUGAGAAUCCCGUAUGUGAUUGGUGCCGUCCCCCGUGUAAAGCUCUUUCGACGAGUCGAGUUGUUUGGGAAUGCAGCUCAAAAUGGGUGGUAAAUUUCAUCUAAAGCUAAAUAUUGGCCAGAGACCGAUAGCGCACAAGUAGAGUGAUCGAAAGAUGAAAAGCACUUUGGAAAGAGAGUUAAACAGUACGUGAAAUUGUUGAAAGGGAAGCGCUUGCAAUCAGACUUGCAGGCGGUUGAUCAUCCGAGGUUCUCCCCGGUGCACUCGAUCGUCUUCAGGCCAGCAUCGGUUUCAGUGGUGGGAUAAAGGCUGUGAGAACGUGGCUCUUCGGAGUGUUAUAGCUCACGGUGCAAUGCCGCCUACUGGGACCGAGGACCGCGCUUCGGCUAGGAUGCUGGCGUAAUGGUUGUAAGCGACCCGUCUUGAAACACGGACCAAGGAGUCUAACAUCUAUGCGAGUGUUUGGGUGUCAAACCCAUACGCGUAAUGAAAGUGAACGGAGGUGAGACCCCAUUAGGGCGCAUCAUCGACCGAUCCUGAUGUCUUCGGAUGGAUUUGAGUAAGAGCAUAGCUGUUGGGACCCGAAAGAUGGUGAACUAUGCGUGAAUAGGGUGAAGCCAGAGGAAACUCUGGUGGAGGCUCGCAGCGGUUCUGACGUGCAAAUCGAU
rnacentral:rRNA from 1 species